rnacentral:rRNA from 1 species
GACGAACGCUGGCGGCGUGCUUAACACAUGCAAGUCGAACGAAGUGGCGAACGGGUGAGUAACGCGUAAUCAACCUGCCCUUCAGAGGGGGAUAACAGUUGGAAACGACUGCUAAUACCGCAUACUGAAGGAGGGGAUUGCGUCUGAUUGGCUCGUGGGAGGGGUAACGGCCCACCAAGGCGAGGAUCAGCAGCCCGUCUGAGAGGAUGAACGGCCACCUUGUGACUUGAGCACGGCCCAGGAUCCUACGUGGGGCAGCAGUGGGGAAUCUUCCGGAAUGGAGGAAAGGCUGACGGAGCAACGCCGCUGGAGAGAUGACGGCCUUCGGGGUGUAAAGCUCUGUUAAUCGGGACGCGGUACCGGAAGAGAAAGCCACGGCUAACUACGUGCCAGCAGCCGCGGUAAUAC